GACAGAGGGUGCAAACGUUGUUCGGAAUUACUGGGCGUAAAGCGAGUGUAGGCGGUGAGAUAAGUCGGACGUGAGAGCCCGGGGCUCAACCUCGGAAGUGCGCUCGAUACUGUCUCGCUUGAGUGUCGGAGAGGUUGGUGGAAUUCUGGGUGUAGAGGUGAAAUUCGUAGAUAUCCAGAGGAACACCGGUGGCGAAGGCGGCCAACUGGACGACGACUGACGCUGAGACUCGAAAGUGUGGGGAGCAAACAGG
rnacentral:rRNA from 1 species